rnacentral:rRNA from 1 species
GCAGUCGAACGGAAUUGAGGGGCUUGCUCUUCAAUUUAGUGGCGCACGGGUGAGUAACGCGUGGAUAAUCUGCCUGACGAUCUGGGAUAACAUCUCGAAAGGGGUGCUAAUACCGGAUAAGCCCACGGGAACUUCGGUUUCUGCGGGAAAAGGGGGGGACCUUCGGGCCUUCUGUCGUCAGAUGAGUCCGCGUACCAUUAGCUAGUUGGUAGGGUAAAGGCCUACCAAGGCUACGAUGGUUAGCUGGUUUGAGAGAAUGAUCAGCCACACUGGAACUGAGACACGGUCCAGACUCCUACGGGAGGCAGCAGUGGGGAAUUUUGCGCAAUGGGCGAAAGCCUGACGCAGCAACGCCGCGUGAGUGAUGAAGGCUUUCGGGUCGUAAAGCUCUGUCGAGGGGAAAGAAGUGUAUUGUGGCUAAUAUCCACGAUACUUGACGGUACCCCUAAAGGAAGCACCGGCUAACUCCGUGCCAGCAGCCGCGGUAAUACGGGGGGUGCAAGCGUUGUUCGGAAUUAUUGGGCGUAAAGAGCGUGUAGGCGGUUUGUUUAGUCUGAUGUGAAAGCCCUGGGCUCAACCCAGGAAGUGCAUUGGAUACUGGCAGACUUGAAUACGGGAGAGGGUAGUGGAAUUCCUAGUGUAGGAGUGAAAUCCGUAGAUAUUAGGAGGAACACCGGUGGCGAAGGCGGCUGCCUGGACCGAUAUUGACGCUGAGACGCGAAAGCGUGGGUAGCAAACAGGAUUAGAUACCCUGGUAGUCCACGCCGUAAACGAUGAGAACUAGGUGUUGCGGGUAUUGACCCCUGCAGUGCCGCAGCUAACGCAUUAA